AUUGAACGCUGGCGGCAUGCUUUACACAUGCAAGUCGAACGGUAACAGGCCGCAAGGUGCUGACGAGUGGCGAACGGGUGAGUAAUGCAUCGGAACGCGCCCAGUCGUGGGGGAUAACGCAGUGAAAGCUGUGCUAAUACCGCCUACGAUCUAUGGAUGAAAGCGGGGGACCGUAAGGCCUCGCGCGAUUGGAUCGGCCGAUGUCAGAUUAGGUACUUGGUGGGGUAAAGGCCUACCAAGCCGACGAUCUGUAGCUGGUCUGAGAGGACGACCAGCCACACUGGGACUGAGACACGGCCCAGACUCCUACGGGAGGCAGCAGUGGGGAAUUUUGGACAAUGGGCGCAAGCCUGAUCCAGCAAUGCCGCGUGCAGGAAGAAGGCCUUCGGGUUGUAAACUGCUUUUGUACGGAACGAAACGGUCUGGGUUAAUACCCCGGGCUAAUGACGGUACCGUAAGAAUAAGCACCGGCUAACUACGUGCCAGCCGCCGCCGUAACAC
rnacentral:rRNA from 1 species